CAAGUAGGCGGUUUAUUAAGUGAGGGGUGAAAUCUUCCGACUCAAUCGGGAAAUUGCCUUUCAAACUGGUAGACUUGAGGUUGGAAGAGGGAAACGGAAUUAGCAGUGUAAGGGUGAAAUCUGUAGAUAUUGCUAAGAACACCAGCGGCGAAGGCGGUUUCCUGGUCCAAACCUGACGCUGAAUUGCGAAAGCUAGGGGAGCAAACAGGAUUAGAUACCCUGGUAGUCC
rnacentral:rRNA from 1 species